rnacentral:rRNA from 1 species
CCCUUAGAUGUUCUGGGCCGCACGCGCGCUACACUGAUGCAUUCAACGAGUCUAAAACCUGCUCUGAUAGGGGUGGGUAAUCUUUUGAAUGUGCAUCGUGAUUGGGAUAGAUGAUUGCAAUUUUUCAUCUUCAACGAGGAAUGCCUAGUAAACGCAAGUCAUCAGCUUGCAUUGACUACGUCCCUGCCCUUUGUACACACCGCCCGUCGCUCCCUCCGAUUGGACGUUCCGGUGAAUAUUAUGGACUGAGAGUACAAGUCGGUUCGCCGAUCUUUGCUACUCGGGAAGUAAAGUAAACCUUAACGUUUAGAGGAAGGAGAAGUCGUAACA